UGUAUUUAACUCCAGACAAUUCUGUAACUGUGUCUGGGGUGUGCUCUUUCUGUGCUGCUUGCUUGAAAACCUCAACAGAUUUUAUCUUUUUCUACUGUUUUAAGAAACAGAAAGGUUCCUUCUACAGUGUUUACUCCAGAAGUUUGAUGCAUUUCAUCCACAAUUGUGGGGAAGCCUGCUUCUGUUUCUUUCUCAUCAUUAGACAAGUCAAUACCAUUGCAUUUCUUUUCCUUUCCAUUUUCUGCAUUAUUGGAAUGUGACCUGUUUUGGAAUUACAUGCAGCUUAACUGACUGCAUGAUGGCCUGGUACAACAGCUGCACCAAGGCUGCUAAAGAAGCCCUGCGGCGGGUCGGCCAUUAUUGGG